GAUGAACGCUGGCGGCGUGCCUAAUACAUGCAAGUCGAGCGAACGGACGAGAAGCUUGCUUCUCUGAUGUUAGCGGCGGACGGGUGAGUAACACGUGGAUAACCUACCUAUAAGACUGGGAUAACUUCGGGAAACCGGAGCUAAUACCGGAUAAUAUUUUGAACCGCAUGGUUCAAAAGUGAAAGACGGUCUUGCUGUCACUUAUAGAUGGAUCCGCGCUGCAUUAGCUAGUUGGUAAGGUAACGGCUUACCAAGGCAACGAUGCAUAGCCGACCUGAGAGGGUGAUCGGCCACACUGGAACUGAGACACGGUCCAGACUCCUACGGGAGGCAGCAGUAGGGAAUCUUCCGCAAUGGGCGAAAGCCUGACGGAGCAACGCCGCGUGAGUGAUGAAGGUCUUCGGAUCGUAAAACUCUGUUAUUAGGGAAGAACAUAUGUGUAAGUAACUGUGCACAUCUUGACGGUACCUAAUCAGAAAGCCACGGCUAACUACGUGCCAGCAGCCGCGGUAAUACGUAGGUGGCAAGCGUUAUCCGGAAUUAUUGGGCGUAAAGCGCGCGUAGGCGGUUUUUUAAGUCUGAUGUGAAAGCCCACGGCUCAACCGUGGAGGGUCAUUGGAAACUGGAAAACUUGAGUGCAGAAGAGGAAAGUGGAAUUCCAUGUGUAGCGGUGAAAUGCGCAGAGAUAUGGAGGAACACCGGUGGCGAAGGCGACUUUCUGGUCUGUAACUGACGCUGAUGUGCGAAAGCGUGGGGAUCAAACAGGAUUAGAUACCCUGGUAGUCCACGCCGUAAACGAUGAGUGCUAAGUGUUAGGGGGUUUCCGCCCCUUAGUGCUGCAGCUAACGCAUUAAGCACUCCGCCUGGGGAGUACGACCGCAAGGUUGAAACUCAAAGGAAUUGACGGGGACCCGCACAAGCGGUGGAGCAUGUGGUUUAAUUCGAAGCAACGCGAAGAACCUUACCAAAUCUUGACAUCCUUUGACAACUCUAGAGAUAGAGCUUUCCCCUUCGGGGGACAAAGUGACAGGUGGUGCAUGGUUGUCGUCAGCUCGUGUCGUGAGAUGUUGGGUUAAGUCCCGCAACGAGCGCAACCCUUAAGCUUAGUUGCCAUCAUUAAGUUGGGCACUCUAAGUUGACUGCCGGUGACAAACCGGAGGAAGGUGGGGAUGACGUCAGAUCAUCAUGCCCCUUAUGAUUUGGGCUACACACGUGCUACAAUGGACAAUACAAAGGGCAGCGAAACCGCGAGGUCAAGCAAAUCCCAUAAAGUUGUUCUCAGUUCGGAUUGUAGUCUGCAACUCGACUACAUGAAGCUGGAAUCGCUAGUAAUCGUAGAUCAGCAUGCUACGGUGAAUACGUUCCCGGGUCU
rnacentral:rRNA from 1 species